CCUACGGGGUGCACCAGUGGGGAAUAUUGCACAAUGGGCGCAAGCCCGAUGCAGCCAUGCCGCGUGUAUGAAGAAGGCCUUCGGGUUGUAAAGUACUUUCAGCGGGGAGGAAGGUGUUGUGGCUAAUAACCACAGCAAUUGACGUUACCCGCAGAAGAAGCACCGGCUAACUCCGUGCCAGCAGCCGCAGUAAUACGGAGGGUGCAAGCGUUAAUCGGAAUUACUGGGCGUAAAGCGCACGCGGGCGGUCUGUCAAGUCGGAUGUGAAAUCCCCGGGCUCAACCUGGGAACUGCAUUCGAAACUGGCAGGCUAGAGUCUUGUAGAGGGGGGUAGAAUUCCAGGUGUAGCGGUGAAAUGCGUAGAGAUCUGGAGGAAUACCGGUGGCGAAGGCGGCCUCCUGGACAAAGACUGACGCUCAGGUGCGAAAGCGUGGGGAGCAAACAGGAUUAGAUACCCUCGUAGUC
rnacentral:rRNA from 1 species